rnacentral:rRNA from 1 species
ACGCGUUAGACGAACGGUCUGGAAAGUCCGACGAUACAGGGUGAUAGUCCCGUAGUUGACGACGUGUGUUCAGUGAAAUCGAGUAGGGCGGGACACGUGAUAUCCUGUCUGAAUAUGGGGGGACCAUCCUCCAAGGCUAAAUACUACUGACUGACCGAUAGUGAACCAGUACCGUGAGGGAAAGGCGAAAAGAACCCCUGUGAGGGGAGUGAAAUAGAACCUGAAACCGUGUACGUACAAGCAGUAGGAGCAGGCUUGUCCUGUGACUGCGUACCUUUUGUAUAAUGGGUCAGCGACUUAUAUUCAGUGGCAAGGUUAACCAUCUAGGGGAGCCGUAGGGAAACCGAGUCUUAACUGGGCGUUCAGUCUCUGGAUAUAGACCCGAAACCAGGUGAUCUAGCCAUGGGCAGGUUGAAGGUUGAGUAACAUCAACUGGAGGACCGAACCGACUAAUGUUGAAAAAUUAGCGGAUGACUUGUGGCUAGGGGUGAAAGGCCAAUCAAACCUGGAGAUAGCUGGUUCUCCCCGAAAGCUAUUUAGGUAGCGCCUCGGACGAAUACUACUGGGGGUAGAGCACUGUUAAGGCUAGGGGGUCAUCCCGACUUACCAACCCUUUGCAAACUCCGAAUACCAGUAAGUACUAUCCGGGAGACACACGGCGGGUGCUAACGUCCGUCGUGGAGAGGGAAACAACCCAGACCGCCAGCUAAGGUCCCAAAUUACUACUAAGUGGGAAACGAUGUGGGAAGGCUCAGACAGCCAGGAUGUUGGCUUAGAAGCAGCCAUCAUUUAAAGAAAGCGUAAUAGCUCACUGGUCGAGUCGGCCUGCGCGGAAGAUGUAACGGGGCUAAGUAGUAAACCGAAGCUGCGGCAAUGUGCUUUUGCACAUUGGGUAGGGGAGCGUUCUGUAAGCGGUUGAAGGUGUGUGGUAACGCAUGCUGGACGUAUCAGAAGUGCGAAUGCUGACAUGAGUAACGAUAAAGGGGGUGAAAAACCUCCUCGCCGGAAGACCAAGGGUUCCUGUCCAACGUUAAUCGGGGCAGGGUAAGUCGACCCCUAAGGCGAGGCCGAAAGGCGUAGUCGAUGGGAAACGGGUUAAUAUUCCCGUACUUCUUACAAUUGCGAUGGGGGGACGGAGAAGGCUAGGUGGGCCUGGCGACGGUUGUCCAGGUUCAAGUGCGUAGGCUUAAGAGUUAGGUAAAUCCGGCUCUUUUUAAGGCUGAGACACGACGUCGAGCUACUACGGUAGUGAAGUCAUUGAUGCCAUGCUUCCAGGAAAAGCCUCUAAGCUUCAGAUUGUAAGGAAUCGUACCCCAAACCGACACAGGUGGUCGGGUAGAGAAUACCAAGGCGCUUGAGAGAACUCGGGUGAAGGAACUAGGCAAAAUGGUACCGUAACUUCGGGAGAAGGUACGCUCUCGACGGUGAAGUCCCUCGCGGAUGGAGCUAUUGAGAGUCGCAGAUACCAGGUGGCUGCAACUGUUUAUUAAAAACACAGCACUGUGCAAAAUCGUAAGAUGACGUAUACGGUGUGACGCCUGCCCGGUGCCGGAAGGUUAAUUGAUGGGGUUAGACUUC